rfam:Gossypium raimondii Chr10_contig_839, whole genome shotgun sequence.
AAACCAUGCAGUAGGCAUUUUCUACUUAACUCUUUGAAUCACUCCUAUGCUUCAUAUAAUGUUUCAUCCUCAGAUUCCCGAAAGGACGUACUAUCGUUCCUCAAUUU